rnacentral:rRNA from 1 species
CAAUAGCGUAUAUUAAAGUUGUUGCAGUUAAAAAGCUCGUAGUUGGAUUUGUGGCGUACGGUGUGUUCCGGGCACUUGUUGUCUGAGUAACCUGCUGUUGCCAUCCUUGGGUGGAACCUGUGUGGCAUUAGGUUGUCGUGCAGGGGAUGCCCAUCAUUUACUGUGAAAAAAUUAGAGUGUUCAAAGCAGGCUUAUGCCGUUGAAUAUAUUAGCAUGGAAUAAUGAGAUAGGACUUUUUUGCUAUUUUGUUGGUUUGCGCAAAGAGGUAAUGAUUAAUAGGGACAGUUGGGGGUAUUCGUAUUCCAUUGUCAGAGGUGAAAUUCUUGGAUUUUUGGAAGACGAACUACUGCGAAAGCAUUUACCAAGGAUGUUCUCAUUAA